rnacentral:rRNA from 1 species
CCUACGGGAGGCAGCAGUGGGGAAUAUUGGACAAUGGGCGAAAGCCUGAUCCAGCCAUGCCGCGUGUGUGAAGAAGGCCUUCGGGUUGUAAAGCACUUUCAGUGGGGAAGAAAGCCUUGGGGCUAAUACCCUCGAGGAAGGACAUCACCCACAGAAGAAGCACCGGCUAACUCCGUGCCAGCAGCCGCGGUAAUACGGAGGGUGCGAGCGUUAAUCGGAAUUACUGGGCGUAAAGCGCGCGUAGGCGGUCUGAUAAGCCGGUUGUGAAAGCCCCGGGCUCAACCUGGGAACGGCAUCCGGAACUGUCAGGCUAGAGUGCAGGAGAGGAAGGUAGAAUUCCCGGUGUAGCGGUGAAAUGCGUAGAGAUCGGGAGGAAUACCAGUGGCGAAGGCGGCCUUCUGAACUGACACUGACGCUGAGGUUCGAACGCGUGGGUAGCAAACAGGAUUAGAUACCCGAGUAGUC